rnacentral:rRNA from 1 species
CUGGAAACAGGUGCUAAUACCGGAUAUGAGCUUGUCCUGCAUGGGAUGGGUUGGAAAGCUCCGGCGGUCAUGGAUGGACUCGCGGCCUAUCAGCUUGUUGGUGAGGUAAUGGCUCACCAAGGCUUCGACGGGUAGCCGGCCUGAGAGGGCGACCGGCCACAUUGGGACUGAGAUACGGCCCCAAACUCCUACGGGAGGCAGCAGUGGGAAUAUUGCACAAUGGGCGGAAGCCUGAUGCAGCAACGCCGCGUGCGGGAUGACGGCCUUCGGGUUGUAAACCGCUUUCAGCAGGGACGAAGCGUGAGUGACGGUACUUGCAGAAGAAGCACCGGCUAACUACGUGCCAGCAGCCGCGGUGAUACGUAGGGUGCGAGCGUUGUCCGGAUUUUAUUGGGCGUAAAGAGCUUGUAGGCGGUUUGUCGCGUCGGGAGUGAAAACUCAGGGCUUAACCCUGAGCCUGCUUCCGAUACGGGCAGACUUGAGGAAGGUAGGAG